UAACCGGCGAUUUCCGAAUGGGGAAACCCAGUGUGAUUCGUCACACUAUCAUUAACUGAAUCCAUAGGUUAAUGAGGCGAACCGGGGGAACUGAAACAUCUAAGUACCCCGAGGAAAAGAAAUCAACCGAGAUUCCCCCAGUAGCGGCGAGCGAACGGGGAGCAGCCCAGAGCCUGAAUCAGUGUGUGUGUUAGUGGAAGCGUCUGGAAAGGCGCGCGAUACAGGGUGACAGCCCCGUACACAAAAAUGCACAUAUUGUGAGCUCGAUGAGUAGGGCGGGACACGUGGUAUCCUGUCUGAAUAUGGGGGGCCCAUCCUCCAAGGCUAAAUACUCCUGACUGACCGAUAGUGAACCAGUACCGUGAGGGAAAGGCGAAAAGAACCCCGGCGAGGGGAGUGAAAAAGAACCUGAAACCGUGUACGUACAAGCAGUGGGAGCACGCUUAGGCGUGUGACUGCGUACCUUUUGUAUAAUGGGUCAGCGACUUAUAUUCUGUAGCAAGGUUAACCGAAUAGGGGAGCCGAAGGGAAACCGAGUCUUAACUGGGCGUUAAGUUGCAGGGUAUAGACCCGAAACCCGGUGAUCUAGCCAUGGGCAGGUUGAAGGUUGGGUAACACUAACUGGAGGACCGAACCGACUAAUGUUGAAAAAUUAGCGGAUGACUUGUGGCUGGGGGUGAAAGGCCAAUCAAACCGGGAGAUAGCUGGUUCUCCCCGAAAGCUAUUUAGGUAGCGCCUCGUGAAUUCAUCUCCGGGGGUAGAGCACUGUUUCGGCAAGGGGGUCAUCCCGACUUACCAACCCGAUGCAAACUGCGAAUACCGGAGAAUGUUAUCACGGGAGACACACGGCGGGUGCUAACGUCCGUCGUGAAGAGGGAAACAACCCAGACCGCCAGCUAAGGUCCCAAAGUCAUGGUUAAGUGGGAAACGAUGUGGGAAGGCCCAGACAGCCAGGAUGUUGGCUUAGAAGCAGCCAUCAUUUAAAGAAAGCGUAAUAGCUCACUGGUCGAGUCGGCCUGCGCGGAAGAUGUAACGGGGCUAAACCAUGCACCGAA
rnacentral:rRNA from 1 species